UAGGGAAUCUUCCACAAUGGACGCAAGUCUGAUGGAGCAACGCCGCGUGAGUGAAGAAGGUUUUCGGACCGUAAAGCUCUGUUGUUGGUGAAGAAGGAUAGAGGUAGUAACUGGCCUUUAUUUGACGGUAAUCAACCAGAAAGUCACGGCUAACUACGUGCCAGCAGCCGCGGUAAUCGUAGGUGGCAAGCGUUGUCCGGAUUUAUUGGGCGUAAAGCGAGCGCAGGCGGAAGAAUAAGUCUGAUGUGAAAGCCCUCGGCUUAACCGAGGAAUUGCAUCGGAAACUGUUUUUCUUGAGUGCAGAAGAGGAGAGUAGAACUCCAUGUGUAGCGGUGGAAUGCGUAGAUAUAUGGAAGAAUACCAGUGGCGAAGGCGGCUCUCUGGUCUGCAACUGACGCUGAGGCUCGAAAGCAUGGGUAGCGAACAGGAUUAGAUACCCCUGGU
rnacentral:rRNA from 1 species